rnacentral:rRNA from 1 species
GAUGAACGCUAGCGGCAGGCUUAAUACAUGCAAGUCGAGGGGCAGCAGGGGUAGCAAUACCCGCUGGCGACCGGCAAACGGGUGCGGAACACGUACGCAAUCUACCCAAAACUGAUGAAUAGCCCUCCGAAAGGAGGAUUAAUACAUCGUAACCUAUUAGAGUGGCAUCACUUUAUUAGUAUAGCUCCGGCGGCUUUGGAUGAGCGUGCGGCUGAUUAGGUAGUUGGCAGGGUAACGGCCUACCAAGCCUACGAUCAGUAACUGUGUGAGAGCACGACCAGUCACACGGGCACUGAGACACGGGCCCGACUCCUCCGGGAGGCAGCAGUAGGGAAUAUUGGGCAAUGGAGGCAACUCUGACCCAGCCAUGCCGCGUGCAGGAAGACGGCCCUCUGGGUUGUAAACUGCUUUUGAAUGGGAAGAAUGUGAUGUUUGCGAGCAUUAAUGACGGUACCAUUAGAAUAAGCCACGGCUAACUACGUGCCAGCCGCCGCGGUAAGAC